rnacentral:rRNA from 1 species
GUGGGGAAUCUUAGACAAUGGGGGCAACCCUGAUCUAGCCAUGCCGCGUGAGUGAUGAAGGCCUUAGGGUCGUAAAGCUCUUUCGCUGGGGAAGAUAAUGACGGUACCCAGUAAAGAAACCCCGGCUAACUCCGUGCCAGCAGCCGCGGUAAUACGGAGGGGGUUAGCGUUGUUCGGAAUUACUGGGCGUAAAGCGCGCGUAGGCGGAUUGGAAAGUUGGGGGUGAAAUCCCGGGGCUCAACCCUGGAAUGGCCUUCAAAACUCCCAGUCUUGAGGUCGAGAGAGGUGAGUGGGAUUCCGAGUGUAGAGGUGAAAUUCGUAGAUAUUCGGAGGAACACCAGUGGCGAAGGCGGCUCACUGGCCCGUUACUGACGCUGAGGCGCGAAAGCGUGGGGAGCAAACAGGAUUAGAAACCCGUGUAGUCC